UCAUACCCCAAAUUAAUAGGAAGAAUAAUUAAGAUCAGAGAAGAAAUGAAUAAAAUAGAUCUAAGAAAACCAUAGAAAGGAUCAAUGAAACAGAGUUGGUUACUUGAGAAGAUAAAGAAAACUGACAAACCUUUAACUAGAUUAAAUAACAGAAAGAGAAAGGGUGAGAGAGACAAAGACCCAAGUAAAUAAAAUUAGAGAUGAGAGAGGAGACAUCAUAACCAAUACUAAUGGAAUUUAAAGGAUCAUUUGGAAUUAUUUUGAAAAACUAUAUGCUAACACAUUGGAAAAUCUUGAAGAAAUGGACAAAUUUCUGGAUGCAUAAGAUCUACCAAAAUUGAACAAAAAAGAUUUUAAAAAGCUGAAUAGACCAAAAACAAGUAAAAAAGUUGAGUCAGUAAUUUAAGAAAAAAUAAAGCUUCCCAACAAAGAAAAGCCUAGGAAUUAACAGCUUCACUUCUGACUUUUAUCAAAUUUUUAAAGAAAUAACACCAAUGCUUCUCAAAUUAUUCCAUAGCGUUGAAAGGGGAAAAAAACCUUCCACAUUCACUCUAUAAGAUCAAAAUUACUCCAUUACCAAAACCUGACAAAUACACAACAUAAUGAAGAAAAUCAUAGACUAAUAUCCUUCAUGAAUAUAACUAUAAAACUUUUCAAUAAAAUACAAAUAAAAUUCAACAGCACAUCAAACAGA
rnacentral:lncRNA from 1 species